UACGAAGGGGGCUAGCGUUGUUCGGAAUUACUGGGCGUAAAGCGCACGUAGGCGGACUAUUAAGUCAGGGGUGAAAUCCCGGGGCUCAACCCCGGAACUGCCUUUGAUACUGGUAGUCUCGAGUCCGGAAGAGGUGAGUGGAAUUCCGAGUGUAGAGGUGAAAUUCGUAGAUACUCGGAGGAACACCAGUGGCGAAGGCGGCUCACUGGUCCGGUACUGACGCUGAGGUGGGAAAGCGUGGGGAGCAAACAGG
rnacentral:rRNA from 1 species